rnacentral:rRNA from 1 species
UACGUAGGGGGCUAGCGUUGUCCGGAAUCAUUGGGCGUAAAGAGCGUGUAGGCGGCCAGGUAGGUCUGCUGUGAAAACUCGAGGCUCAACCUCGAGAUGUCGGCGGAAACCAUCUGGCUAGAGUCCGGAAGAGGAAAGUGGAAUUCCUGGUGUAGCGGUGAAAUGCGCAGAUAUCAGGAAGAACACCCGUGGCGAAGGCGGCUUUCUGGGACGGUACUGACGCUGAGACGCGAAAGCGUGGGGAGCGAACAGG